UAGCGGUGUGCCCAAUACAUACAAGUCGAGCGGACCGGGCGGAAGCUUGCUUCCGCUUGGUUAGCGGCGGACGGGUGAGUAACACGUGGGUAACCGCCCGUAAGACCGGGAUAACUCCGGGAAACCGGAGCUAAUACCGGAUAACACCGAAGACCGCAUGGUCUUUGGUUGAAAGGCGGCUUCGGCUGCCACUUUCGGAUGGGCCCGCGGCGCAUUAGCUAGUUGGUGAGGUAACGGCUCACCAAGGCGACGAUGCGUAGCCGGCCUGAGAGGGUGCCCGGCCACACUGGGACUGAGACACGGCCCAGACUCCUACGGGAGGCAGCAGUAGGGAAUAUUCCGCAAUGGACGAAAGUCUGC
rnacentral:rRNA from 1 species